rnacentral:lncRNA from 1 species
GAGAGUAAGGGCAAAUUUAGCAACCUGUAGCCUAAGGCACAAUGAAGGGAAGUCUGUGAAGCACUGAGGAAUUUUUAGUUGAUAGAUGAUUUCCAUACAGGAAUUCUGCAGCAGGGUCCCAGGUUUGAAAGAACUAUCUAAAGGAAUGCAUGAUAUAUGGCAGAUUGAGAAGACUUGAUAAGACAGGAAUUUGGACCUGCAAAACAUCAAGGGUUAAUUAUCAA